rnacentral:lncRNA from 1 species
GCGGAAAGCGCGCGCCAGCUGCACGCAGGGAAACAGUUCUCAUUUUGUGUGCUCGGCUGACUGCACGUCCAGCCUCGGGCCAGCUCGAGACGGCCACAUUGCCUGGUUGAAGAUGGCUGAGCGUAAAACAGAAUGCAAGUCAGCUGGAGCACGUACUACUGGAGGCAGAGCCCCAUGAGAAGGGGCCAAGAACCCGCACCCAUCAAAAUCAAGAAGAAAGGCUGAACCCGGAGAGAAAAGGGAGAAGCAGUCUGUUCCCUGGACAUGCUCCUCUCUCUCAGUCCUCAGGUGGUGCCAGUUGGUGGGGGAGAAUGUUCC